GAAAACCCGUUUAGGCAAAGAAACGUGCGGAAGAGAUCAAAAUUUCCAAGUUUUCCAGUGUGGAACAAAAAGAACAAAAGACCGAAUCGAUCAAGUGGAAAAGCUGACAGGGUUGAAGAACCGCCGCUUUCUUCGGUGCCAAAAGCAAGUUUUAACGAAGAAAAGAUUUAAGGAGGAGGUGGUGCACGUUUCAGGUGCUUCGCAAACAAUAAACACUCAACAAAUAUGAUCGAAUGCAUGAAGUAAUACUCUCUGAAGCUCUGGGUAUGGCGUUUGGGACACAGUAAGUGCUCAAUAAGUAUCAGUGAUGAUGAUGAAGAUUCUUCCAGCUUGUUUUGACUCCUCUAACGAUCUCAUCUCCCCACACCCACCCUGCCUUCGUCAUCGUUUAUCUAAGUUGCCUGAGCCCUGAAGACUUCACAUGGUUUCCAUCUGGUGCCUGAGUUAGAUUCCCAUCAUGGCUUUUCGGGGAAAACCUUAUCAUCUUCUUCCAGUUCCUGGCACCGACAAAUGCACAGGGUAUUGAUCCUGCAACCCGAGGAGAAGGCUGCAAAUAUUUUUGCUCGGUAAACAGGCUAAGUGUUUGGAGAGGAAGCGUGAAACACAGUCCAGGACAUGUGGCUUUAAUUUCGAGAGUCUUAUUAAGACCUGGCAGCUGAUCUCCCUCUGAUUUCCUAUUCAUUCAUUCAAUCGUAUUUGUUGAGCGCUUUCUGUGUGCAGAGCGCUGUACUAGGCGCUUGGAAAUUACAAUUCGGCAGUAAAUAGAGACAACCCCCCCCCCCACCAAUGGGCUCAUGGUAUAGAAGCGGAAAGACAGGCAACAAAACAAAUAAACAGGCAUGAGUAGCA